rnacentral:tRNA from 1 species
CAGAAAAUAGUUUAUUAAAAUAUUAGUUUUGGAGGCUAAAGAUAGGAGUUAUUUUUUUUUCUGA